CAGCAGCCGCGGGAAUACGGAGGGGGCUAGCGUUAUUCGGAAUUACUGGGCGUAAAGCGCACGUAGGCGGCUUCGCAAGUCAGAGGUGAAAGCCUGGGGCUCAACUCCAGAAUUGCCUUUGAGACUGCGUCGCUCGAAUCCGGGAGAGGUGAGUGGAAUUCCGAGUGUAGAGGUGAAAUUCGUAGAUAUUCGGAAGAACACCAGUGGCGAAGGCGGCUCACUGGACCGGCAUUGACGCUGAGGUGCGAAAGCGUGGGGAGCAAACAGGAUUAGAUACCCCGGUAGUCCCUGUCUCUUAUAC
rnacentral:rRNA from 1 species